rnacentral:ribozyme from 1 species
AGAGAGAAAGAGAAAGAGAAAGAAGACAGUGAGAAAGACACUAAAACUCCUCUGAAAUCUAGUCUUUCUUCUUCUUCCUCUUCUUCUCUCUCUCUCUGCUGUUUC